CUAUUGCAAGUUUUUCCAGUGCACGUCUCUCUCCACGACUGCAGUGAGGUUUAAAAUAUGUGGAGUAGACUUCUGGUAAAGUCAAAACAGUGUGGAGCUGAAGGAACACAGCAGACCAGGCAGCAUGAGAAGAACAGGAGAGUCGACAUUUCAGGCCUACACCCUUCAUCAGGACUUAUCAUCUUUUUCAUUAAAAAAAACUGUCUGAUUUUUAAUGGAUUAAAAACCAUAGGGAAAACGAUAGCCGAAGAUGUUCAAGUACAUCAGGGAGACAAUGGUCUUUCUACCACUCAAGACUGGCAGUGUGUGGUGGGAGUGGAAGGUAUAUAGUGGUAUAGUGGGGUUGGCUGUGCCAGGGAGCACAUGAUCUGUAGACAAUAUUGGUGAAAGUUGAAUCAUAUAGACAUGUGUUGAUAGGAAUUGGUGAGCUUUGCUUUAUUGCUUUUGUGAGUGGCUGCACCCAUGACUGAAAGGUAAACUGGAAACGUUAAUAAGGAACUUUGUGAAACUGUCUCUGGAACAGGCCUAUUGGAACAGGCUGAAAUGGUCUUAUCUUGUUCUACAUAUUAUUCCUUCCAAAUGUAACAUGUAGAAAUUACAAAAUGAACUUUAUAAAGGUACCUUUAGGUUUUCUGGA